CUUGCCUAUGAUGAUACAUUCAACCACUUGUUGAUAUACUUAUGAAAAAAUCUUACAUGCACUACCAUCUGAGGCCAA